GACGUAGGGCGCGAGCGUUGUCCGGAUUUAUUGGGCGUAAAGAGCUCGUAGGCGGCUUGUCGCGUCGAAUGUGAAAUCCUGCGGCUCAACUGCAGGCUUGCAUUCGAUACGGGCAGGCUCGAGUUCGGUAGGGGAGACUGGAAUUCCUGGUGUAGCGGUGAAAUGCGCAGAUAUCAGGAGGAACACCGGUGGCGAAGGCGGAUCUCUGGGCCUUACCUGACGCUCAGGUGCGAAAGCUAGGGGAGCGAACAGG
rnacentral:rRNA from 1 species